rnacentral:lncRNA from 1 species
UUCCCUGACUGUGGAAAACCCUGAAUAUAGUCCUACUACAUAUUAAGGCAGACAAUUUCAAAGUCAAGUUCUAAUUUUAUGUUUUUGCGUCACAAGGACAACGAGCUUGAGGACAUCCCGGUGGAAUCGCUGAAAGCGCUGAAGAACCUGACCCUGUUGGACCUGUCGCGGAACAAACUGACGCAGGUUGCCGGACGAUGCCUUUGCGUGGCUCACGAAACCUGGGGACCCUGAAGUUGGCCGACAACAAACGGUCACGUUGUCCCCCCGCCCACGCCUCCGCGGCCUCGAGACCUCCCUCAAGAACCUCAACCUCAAGGGCCACCCGCCAGAAGGUCAUCCCUGAGGCCAUCCGAGGACUCAGCGCCCUAGCUUUCCUCGACCUCGCACACAAACAUCCUAUCCGAGCUACCGGGAACCGGUGCUUCUGGGGUCUUCCAGGGUCUAGACUCUCUCACCGCGCUAAACCUGGAGAGAAAUGUUAUCCAAGCAGUUGGGCCUACCUUUUGUCGGCGUCAAGAAUACACUCAGCUCCCUCAGUUUGCUCAAUAAUCUCCUCACUGAAUUCCCGUCCGCUGCCAUUAACUCGCUCUCCGAGCUUAGGGUCCUGGAUAUCGGUUUCAACCUGAUAACGACGCUGCCUCGGAGGCGUUCUCCGGGAACCCGUCGCUGACCCUGCUGGCCCUGGACGGAACCCGAUCGCCACGAUCCCGGUCAACACCCUGGCCCACCUCAACGACACGCUCCGGGGUCUGAGCCUCGGCGGGCACUUCCUCCAGUGCGACUGCCGCCUCAAGUGGGUCAUCGAGUGGAUCAAGCACGGCGACCUCCAGGUCACCAGCCGUGAGCGCAAACCCCAGUUCUGCGCCGCCCCCGCCCAUCUCCGGGACAAGAGCUUCUACAACAUCAAGGCCGACGGUAAGCAAAACAGUCCCUCUAUGGCUUCAGUACAGACAUGUCCACAUAUGGAGCUCUUCCGGCCUAGAGUCCCUGUACUGAGAGUCAAGACAACGCGAAUCCAUUUCUCAUUGGUUCCCGUAUUUUAGGCCUUCACAGUGUCACAAACGGGACUAAAGAUUACAGUUUCGUCCACGGAGAAUUCGCAGGUGAUUUCACAGGGGUGCACAAUAUACUAGAUCACGCGAUAAUUUAUCGCGUGAAAUUGGGGAAGGCCUUCCCGAUUUACUGAAGCGCGAUCACGCGAUAAAUUAUCGCGUGAAAAUGUGGAAGCGUCCCAAAUUUUGUGAAAAUUUUUCUUCCUUUCUUUCUUUUCUUUUCUCGCUCUUUACUUCGAAUCUCAUAUUUUUGUACCGAAACAUUGUGGAAGAGUUUUCACAUGUGUGGCCGAAAUACUGUGGAAGGGUUUCCGUUUCCGGUUUCCACA